GACGAACGCUGGCGGCGUGCUUAACACAUGCAAGUCACGGGGGGCUUCGCAAGGAGCAACCGGCGAACGGGGUGCGUAACACGUGAGCGACCUGCCAUACCUGUGGGGGGAUAGCCGGCCCAACGGCCGGGUAAUACCGCAUACGAUCUUUGGGGGCGCAUGCUCUGGAGACGAAAGCUCGGGGGGGAACCCGGAGCGCAGGAUGAGGGGCUCGCGGCCUAUCAGCUGGUUGGCGGGGUAANGGCCCACCAAGGCGAUGACGGGUAGCUGGUCUGAGAGGAUGGCCAGCCACAUUGGGACUGAGAGACGGCCCAGACUCC
rnacentral:rRNA from 1 species